GGCAGCCUUGGAUGCAGGAAGUCUUAAAGAUUUAAUGAGACUCGGGGCUGUGUUGCCUGUAGCUGGGUCAAGAGCAUGAGGACUUUCCUGGACGCUGUGCUGGCCCUGAGCACCCAGAAAUAAACCAGAUACAGUCCACCCCUUGAGGGGCUGCGGUCUGGGGAGAGACAGAUGAUGAAAGCAAGGCCAGAGAAGAUAAAUGGCCCACGCAGGGGCUCAGAGCCCGUGUCCAGAAGAAGUCAGCUUCUCAGCCCUACUCUACCCAGGCCAGCUCCUGUGGGCUGGACAGGGGAGAGCUCCCUGGAGAAAACACGGAAAGACGUCCGGAGGAAGGCUGGGAGUCUGACUGUGGAAAGCCUCAAAGUCAGGCCAGGGGUACCCAUGGUGGUGUUGGCUAAAUGCUCCACAUUUCCCGCGUGACUGAAAAGGCUGGCUCCUCCAGGAAUGCUCCCUUCUGCUGCUGGGUUUGGCUUUAUUUCUGGAGACCCCUUAAGCUCUCUGAUCCUUAGUUCCUUCAUUGUAGCAAAGUCUAAUAAUACACCGCCAGCUGCUGCAAGGAUUACUGGUACUGUAUGCAAAGUGCUGGACAUAUGAUCAUGCACAGUAAUGAGGAGCUAUUAAUAUUAUGUCAGCUGCUGGCUGCAGCCGCCUCC